UACAGAGGAGCCAAGCGUUGUCCGGAUUGACUGGGCGUAAAGCGCACGCAGGCGGACGCGCGCGUGGGGUGUGAAAUCUGGCCGCUUAACGGCCAGGCGCCAUCCCAUACGGCGCGUCUGGAGUGAUGCAGAGGUCGAUGGAAUUGCCGGUGUAGUGGUGAAAUGCGUAGAGAUCCGGAAGAACACCGGUGGCGAAGGCGGCCUGCUGGGCAGUAGCUGACGCUGAGGCGCGACAGCGUGGGGAGCAAACAGG
rnacentral:rRNA from 1 species